rnacentral:rRNA from 1 species
GGCGAGUGAAGCGGCAACAGCUCAAAUUUGAAAUCUGGCCCUCUUUGGGGGUCCGAGUUGUAAUUUGUAGAGGGUGCUUUGGCAUCGGCUGCGGUCCAAGUCCCUUGGAACAGGGCGUCGGAGAGGGUGAGAAUCCCGUAUCUGGCCGCCAGCCUUCGCCGUGUAAAGCCCCUUCGACGAGUCGAGUUGUUUGGGAAUGCAGCUCAAAUUGGGAGGUAAAUUUCUUCUAAAGCUAAAUACCGGCCAGAGACCGAUAGCGCACAAGUAGUGUGAACGAAAGAUGAAAAGCACUUUGGAAAGAGAGUCAAAAAGCACGUGAAAUUGUUGAAAGGGAAGCGCUUGCAGCCAGACGUGCCCGCGGUCGUUCAGCCAGGCUCUUGCCUGGUGCACUCUUCCGUGGGCAGGCCAGCAUCAGUUCCGGUGGUCGGAUAAAGGCCUGCUAAACGUACCUCCUUCGGGAGGACUUAUAGGGUAGGUGGCAUACGACCAGCCAGGAUUGAGGUCCGCGCUUCGGCGAGGAUGCUGGCGUAAUGGUGGCAAGCGGCCCGUCUUGAAACACGGACCAAGGAGUCUAACAUCUAUGCGAGUGUUUGGGUGUCAAGCCCAGGCGCGCAAUGAAAGUGAACGGAGGUGGGAUCCCUUCCCGGGUGCACCAUCGACCGAUCCUGAAGUCUUCGGAUGGAUUUGAGUAAGAGCAUAGCUGUUGGGACCCGAAAGAUGGUGAACUAAGCUUGAAUAGGGUGAAGCCAGAGGAAACUCUGGUGGAGGCUCGCAGCGGUUCUGACGUGCAAAUCGAUCGUCAAAUUUGGGCUUAGGGGCGAAAGA